GGUGGUGCAUGGUUGUCGUCAGCUCGUGUCGUGAGAUGUUGGGUUAAGUCCCGCAACGAGCGCAACCCUUAUUGUUAGUUGCCAUCAUUCAGUUGGGCACUCUAGCGAGACUGCCGGUGACAAACCGGAGGAAGGUGGGGAUGACGUCAAAUCAUCAUGCCCCUUAUGACCUGGGCUACACACGUGCUACAAUGGACAGUACAAUGAGUUGCGAGACCGCGAGGUUUAGCUAAUCUCUUAAAGCUGUUCUCAGUUCGGAUUGUAGGCUGCAACUCGCCUACAUGAAGCCGGAAUCGCUAGUAAUCGUGGAUCAGCAUGCCACGGUGAAUACGUUCCCGGGUCUUGUACAAA
rnacentral:rRNA from 1 species